CUCGUAGGCGGUUCAGCAAGUCGGCUGUGAAAUUCCGAGGCUCAACCUCGGAACUGCAGUCGAUACUGCUGUGACUCGAGUCCGGUAGAGGAGAAUGGAAUUCCCGGUGUAGCGGUGAAAUGCGCAGAUAUCGGGAGGAACACCAGUAGCGAAGGCGGUUCUCUGGGCCGGUACUGACGCUGAGGAGCGAAAGCGUGGGGAAGCAACA
rnacentral:rRNA from 1 species